ACACUGAAUGGAGGACCGAACCGACUUACGUUGAAAAGUGAGCGGAUGAACUGAGGGUAGCGGAGAAAUUCCAAUCGAACCUGGAGAUAGCUGGUUCUCUCCGAAAUAGCUUUAGGGCUAGCCUCAAGUGAUGAUUAUUGGAGGUAGAGCACUGUUUGGACGAGGGGCCCCUCUCGGGUUACCGAAUUCAGACAAACUCCGAAUGCCAAUUAAUUUAACUUGGGAGUCAGAACAUGGGUGAUAAGGUCCGUGUUCGAAAGGGAAACAGCCCAGACCACCAGCUAAGGUCCCAAAAUAUAUGUUAAGUGGAAAAGGAUGUGGCGUUGCCCAGACAACUAGGAUGUUGGCUUAGAAGCAGCCAUCAUUUAAAGAGUGCGUAAUAGCUCACUAGUCGAGUGACACUGCGCCGAAAAUGUACCGGGGCUAAACAUAUUACCGAAGCUGUGGAUUGUCCUUUGGACAAUGGUAGGAGAGCGUUCUAAGGGCGUUGAAGCAUGAUCGUAAGGACAUGUGGAGCGCUUAGAAGUGAGAAUGCCGGUGUGAGUAGCGAAAGACGGGUGAGAAUCCCGUCCACCGAUUGACUAAGGUUUCCAGAGGAAGGCUCGUCCGCUCUGGGUUAGUCGGGUCCUAAGCUGAGGCCGACAGGCGUAGGCGAUGGAUAACAGGUUGAUAUUCCUGUACCACCUAUAAUCGUUUUAAUCGAUGGGGGGACGCAGUAGGAUAGGCGAAGCGUGCGAUUGGAUUGCACGUCUAAGCAGUAAGGCUGAGUAUUAGGCAAAUCCGGUACUCGUUAAGGCUGAGCUGUGAUGGGGAGAAGACAUUGUGUCUUCGAGUCGUUGAUUUCACACUGCCGAGAAAAGCCUCUAGAUAGAAAAUAGGUGCCCGUACCGCAAACCGACACAGGUAGUCAAGAUGAGAAUUCUAAGGUGAGCGAGCGAACUCUCGUUAAGGAACUCGGCAAAAUGACCCCGUAACUUCGGGAGAAGGGGUGCUCUUUAGGGUUAACGCCCAGAAGAGCCGCAGUGAAUAGGCCCAAGCGACUGUUUAUCAAAAACACAGGUCUCUGCUAAACCGUAAGGUGAUGUAUAGGGGCUGACGCCUGCCCGGUGCUGGAAGGUUAAGAGGAGUGGUUAGCUUCUGCGAAGCUACGAAUCGAAGCCCCAGUAAACGGCGGCCGUAACUAUAACGGUCCUAAGGUAGCGAAAUUCCUUGUCGGGUAAGUUCCGACCCGCACGAAAGGCGUAACGAUUUGGGCACUGUCUCAACGAGAGACUCGGUGAAAUCAUAGUACCUGUGAAGAUGCAGGUUACCCGCGACAGGACGGAAAGACCCCGUGGAGCUUUACUGUAGCCUGAUAUUGAAAUUCGGCACAGCUUGUACAGGAUAGGUAGGAGCCUUUGAAACGUGAGCGCUAGCUUACGUGGAGGCGCUGGUGGGAUACUACCCUAGCUGUGUUGGCUUUCUAACCCGCACCACUUAUCGUGGUGGGAGACAGUGUCAGGCGGGCAGUUUGACUGGGGCGGUCGCCUCCUAAAAGGUAACGGAGGCGCUCAAAGGUUCCCUCAGAAUGGUUGGAAAUCAUUCAUAGAGUGUAAAGGCAUAAGGGAGCUUGACUGCGAGACCUACAAGUCGAGCAGGGUCGAAAGACGGACUUAGUGAUCCGGUGGUUCCGCAUGGAAGGGCCAUCGCUCAACGGAUAAAAGCUACCCCGGGGAUAACAGGCUUAUCUCCCCCAAGAGUUCACAUCGACGGGGAGGUUUGGCACCUCGAUGUCGGCUCAUCGCAUCCUGGGGCUGUAGUCGGUCCCAAGGGUUGGGCUGUUCGCCCAUUAAAGCGGUACGCGAGCUGGGUUCAGAACGUCGUGAGACAGUUCGGUCCCUAUCCGUCGUGGGCGUAGGAAAUUUGAGAGGAGCUGUCCUUAGUACGAGAGGACCGGGAUGGACAUACCUCUGGUGUACCAGUUGUCGUGCCAACGGCAUAGCUGGGUAGCUAUGUGUGGACGGGAUAAGUGCUGAAAGCAUCUAAGCAUGAAGCCCCCCUCAAGAUGAGAUUUCCCAACUUCGGUUAUAAGAUCCCUCAAAGAUGAUGAGGUUAAUAGGUUCGAGGUGGAAGCAUGGUGACAUGUGGAGCUGACGAAUACUAAUCGAUCGAAGACUUAAUCAAAA
rnacentral:rRNA from 1 species